GACGAACGCUGGCGGCGUGCUUAACACAUGCAAGUCGAACGGAAAGGUCUCUUCGGAGACACUCGAGUGGCGAACGGGUGAGUAACACGUGGGUGAUCUGCCCUGCACUUCGGGAUAAGCCUGGGAAACUGGGUCUAAUACCGGAUAGGACCACGAGAUGCAUGUCUUGUGGUGGAAAGCGAUUUAGCGGUGUGGGAUGGGCCCGCGGCCUAUCAGCUUGUUGGUGGGGUCAUGGCCUACCAAGGCUGCGACGGGUAGCCGGCCUGAGAGGGUGUCCGGCCACACUGGGACUGAGAUACGGCCCAGACACCUACGGGUGGCAG
rnacentral:rRNA from 1 species